rnacentral:rRNA from 1 species
UACGUAGGGCGCAAGCGUUGUCCGGAAUUAUUGGGCGUAAAGAGCUCGUAGGCGGCUUGUCACGUCGGGUGUGAAAGCCCGGGGCUUAACCCCGGGUCUGCAUUCGAUACGGGCUGGCUAGAGUGUGGUAGGGGAGAUCGGAAUUCCUGGUGUAGCGGUGAAAUGCGCAGAUAUCAGGAGGAACACCGGUGGCGAAGGCGGAUCUCUGGGCCUUACCUGACGCUGAGGAGCGAAAGCAUGGGGAGCAAACAGG